rnacentral:rRNA from 1 species
GAUGAACGCUGGCGGUAUGCUUAACACAUGCAAGUCGAACGGACUCUUCGGAGUUAGUGGCGGACGGGUGAGUAACGCGUGAGAAUCUGGCUUUGGGUUCGGGACAACCACUGGAAACGGUGGCUAAUACCGGAUGUGCCGAGAGGUAAAAGAGAAAGUGCCUGAAGAUGAGCUCGCGUCUGAUUAGCUAGUUGGUGAGGUAAAGGCUCAGCAAGGCAGCGAUCAGUAGCUGGUCUGAGAGGAUGACCAGCCACACUGGGACUGAGAGACGGCCCAGACGCCUACGGGAGGCAGCAGUGAAGAAUUUUCCGCAAUGGGCGAAUGCCUGACGGAGGAAUACCGCGUGAGAGAAGAAGGCUCUUGGGAUGUAAACCUCUUUUCUUAGGGAAGAACAAAAUGACGGUACCUAAGGAAUCAGCAUCGGCUAACUCCGUG